CCGCUCCGAACUGAUCAGCAUGAACCGGUCGGGCCGGCCGGACGUACACCUGCGCAUCGUUUCCUCCAGAAACAUUGUUCUUCACGGGCGAUUGUUCGCCUCUUGUGAAACUCGAAUUAGCGGCUCUUCUCAGUGGUCUCGAAUUUUUCCGCCCCCAUAUAACCGAACAGANGCGACCUUGCGCUUCUGGAUUUCCUCGCUGCCCUCGGUGAUGCGAUAGCGCCGGUGAUGGCGGUAGA
rnacentral:misc_RNA from 1 species